GUGUCAGCCGCCGCGGUAAUACGUAGGGUCCAAGCGUUAAUCGGAAUUACUGGGCGUAAAGCGUGCGCAGGCGGUUGUGCAAGACCGAUGUGAAAUCCCCGGGCUUAACCUGGGAAUUGCAUUGGUGACUGCACGGCUAGAGUGUGUCAGAGGGGGGUAGAAUUCCACGUGUAGCAGUGAAAUGCGUAGAGAUGUGGAGGAAUACCGGUGGCGAAGGCAGCCCCCUGGGAUAACACUGACGCUGAGACGCGAAAGCGUGGGGAGCAAACAGGAUUAGAUACCCGUGUAGUCC
rnacentral:rRNA from 1 species